AGAGUUUGAUCCUGGCUCAGAACGAACGCUGGCGGCAGGCUUAACACAUGCAAGUCGAACGCAUCCUUCGGGGUGAGUGGCAGACGGGUGAGUAACGCGUGGGAACGUGCCCUUCAGUUCGGGAUAACCCAGGGAAACUUGGGCUAAUACCGGAUACGUGCGAGAGCAGAAAGAUUUAUCGCUGAAGGAUCGGCCCGCGUCUGAUUAGCUAGUUGGUGAGGUAAUGGCUCACCAAGGCGACGAUCAGUAGCUGGUCUGAGAGGAUGAUCAGCCACACUGGGACUGAGACACGGCCCAGACUCCUACGGGAGGCAGCAGUGGGGAAUAUUGGACAAUGGGCGCAAGCCUGAUCCAGCCAUGCCGCGUGAGUGAUGAAGGCCUUAGGGUUGUAAAGCUCUUUCGGCGGGGACGAUAAUGACGGUACCCGCAGAAGAAGCCCCGGCUAACUUCGUGCCAGCAGCCGCGGUAAUACGAAGGGGGCUAGCGUUGUUCGGAAUCACUGGGCGUAAAGGGCGCGUAGGCGGCUUUUAUAAGUCGGGGGUGAAAGCCUGUGGCUCAACCACAGAAUUGCCUUCGAUACUGUAUGGCUUGAGACCGGAAGAGGUAAGUGGAACUGCGAGUGUAGAGGUGAAAUUCGUAGAUAUUCGCAAGAACACCAGUGGCGAAGGCGGCUUACUGGUCCGGUUCUGACGCUGAGGCGCGAAAGCGUGGGGAGCAAACAGGAUUAGAUACCCUAGUAGUCC
rnacentral:rRNA from 1 species